rnacentral:rRNA from 1 species
AGGCCUUCGGGUCGUAAAGCUCUGUCCUAAAGGAAGAAUUUUGACGGUACUUUAGGAGGAAGCCCCGGCUAAUUACGUGCCAGCAGCCGCGGUAAUACGUAAGGGGCUAGCGUUAUCCGGAAUUACUGGGCGUAAAGGGUACGUAGGCGGUUUAUUAAGUCAGGGGUGAAAGGCUACGGCUCAACCGUAGUAAGCCUUUGAAACUGAUAAACUUGAGUAUGGUAGAGGAAAGUGGAAUUCCUGGUGUAGCGGUGAAAUGCGUAGAUAUCAGGAGGAACAUCGAUGGCGAAGGCAGCUUUCUGGGCCAUUACUGACGCUGAGGUACGAAAGCGUGGGGAGCGAACAGGAUUAGAUACCCUGGUCGUCCACGCCGUAAACGAUGAGUGCUAGGUGUUGGGGGUCGACCCUCGGUGCCGCAGUUAACGCAUUAAGCACUCCGCNUGGGAGGAC